GUCAAAAGAUAAUUAACCCCAUUGCCAUCAUAAACUUCCUAUCAAGUCUACAUAAUGGACUCUAUUUAUUAUAUCGGCGCACCCUUUCUCAUAGUGACAGGCAGGCAGGUUUUGUCCUCCCCUCAACCUUGAUCUCAGAAAAAGGAAUAUGGGGCUAUUAUUUGAUAUCAGGACAGAAGGACUUGUAUUUGGCACUGUUUGAGGAGUUUCUGUAAGCUGAUCUUACCAGCCUGCUUGUCCACCACAACAGUCAAACUGCUUUUUUUUGUUUGUUUGUUUUCAAAAAGCCCCAUUUUUGUAUUUUCUGCAGCUUUUCUUACCCUCAGGUCUGAUAAGUUGCUUUGUUUACACAGAACUCAGACAUUUGCCUAAAUUGCAUCUGCUUGUGGAUUUUGUAUACAUUGAUUUAAAAACCCCAUUUGUAUAAUGUCACCCGUGAAGACCUGGCUUUAACAACCCUGCAAGCUCAGUGCAGUCAUUGGGACUCUGCAAGUGGUGCAGACAUGUAAGACAAGUUGUACUGUCAGGGAUUAGCAGCAGCCAUGGAAACCCAUUAUCUGCAGACCUUGUUAAAUAUGAUAGAUGUGUAAACCACUCUUCUUACAGGCUAAAGGAAGAAACAAGUCUUUUUUUAUGACAAGAUAGCCUGAGACAGAGGAGUCACUGACCAAAGCAGUUGACCUUAUAGAAAAGGUUGAUCUGAGUGUGAUCUGAGGGGUCUGUGGGGACUGAUGGCCAAGAAAGGACAAGAGGAUUCAUUACCGGUGUUGUGUGCCAGGGGCAGAAGUCUCACAAGUGGCUGAAGAGGUAAGAAUAAAUUAAUGUGCCUUGCAAGAGAGAAGAAAGAAAAAGUUCCAGGGAUAUGGGAUAUCUGAGAAGUCAGGCUGGGAAGUGGUAAGUGAAAAACUUCCUGGACUCUUCCAAGCAUUACUAAGGAAAACAGGACUCUGUUUGCAUACUUGGACAAAAAAAGUCAAAACCAGAAAUCUUACGCUACAAUCAGGGUCAGAAGUAACUUGUCACUCACAGCUUUCACUACCAGCUGGCUGCUUAGGACAGAGGGGCAACAAUUGAUCCAAUCAUUGAUCAAAAUAAUAAGCUAUCCCAUUUAAUGUACAUGUUACAUGUACUCUCAGGAAAACCAGCAUUCACUAUUUCCUUCCACUGCUGCUUGGUUCAAUGGAACACUGAUUCAGACAGUUCUUAAGCAUUUUAAAUUGCAUGAAACUGGUAAUUUCUUCUUCUUAUUAUUAGGAAUAUCUUCUGCUCCCAGCUAGGUUUAGAAAAAUGAGCAACUAUGCAAAAUCAGUUUCUUUAGAAAUCAUGUUAAAAAUCAGCAUAUCCUGGUAAACCCAUACAAAGGGGAAUGGUAUUAUUUUUAGCAGUACAACUUACUCUUUAAGAAGUCAACAACAUGAUUUGAAAGCUAAGAUUUAAUAAUAUGUAUUUUAAUAACUGAGAACAAUUCUUUAAUCUUUCUCUUUUUUUAAUCCUACUACUCAGGCAAUAUUUAAUACAUUCUUCUUAAAAAUAACCUACAAAAAUUAAGCAAAAAGUUGAACACAGGAAAGAUUCCCUUUUGAAAGUUCUUUACAGGAUAUGUGUAAAGCUGAUUUCCUUGACUGAAUCAAAUCCAUUCUCUGCUAUUCCAAGACAGUAUCAAAAUUGCAAUGUGGAAAAUAAUCUGAAAAAUGAGUUGGGCAGCCACUGGUUCAUGCUACUUUUAGAUUCCUGAAUGAUACGAUUUCCUGUUAUAUUAAAUAUUUGUGUUUGCAUCCUCAAAAAAAGAGAGGAAUAGCAUGAAUACUUCUCAGAAAUGUGUUGUCUCAAUCUUUGCUAUUUUAGAAGGACAUGGUCUUGUUCCAAGUGAUGACUGUGCAAAGAUAGAAAGAAGAUCCAGGAAAGGAAAAAAACAAACAGAGAUUUGAAGGACUUUUAGUGGCAACUGGAAAAUAGAUGAGAUUUUCAAACAACUGGAACUCUACUUUUCUAGCUUUUUUGCAUUAGUAUGUAUUAGUAUAAAACUAUGCUAAAAACUUGCAGCACUUAGAUUUCUUUGAGAUAUCUAUUUUAAGCCUCUUAGUUUAUAAAAGCUUUAUUAAACUAUUAUGACAAUGAAAAACCAUCAACAAAGCUUUAUUAGGCAGGGUGCAAGAAAUGAGUUUCAAAUAGGAGGAAAAUUACUUUUCAGAAGCUGUAUAUAUGUACUACUGUUAAAGGCAAAAAGCCCUUGAUCGCUAGUGACUUGAAAACUGGCCUAUCUACUUUCACAGCAAAGUAAGGUUCUGCCUCCCAUCAUCCCAUUUUAGCUCAUGAAGCCAGAAGUUCUGAUCCCCAUCAGGGAUUUAACUUUCGACAGAUUAUUUUCUGUCGAACCCACUGCAGUGGGUUUCUGCAAGUGGGCAAUGCAGUCACAGGGAAAUAAGAAAGUACCCCUAAAAGAAGGAAAGCCGUUUGGCCCAGCAGGCCAUACAAACACUAUGAAAAGCAGUGAAACUUAUCUGAGCACAAACCAUGUUAUGAAAAGAGUGUUUCAGUUUUUGCCUUGUAGGCAUGUACUAAAGAAAAAAAAAAAACAUAGUAAGGACAUGUUAUUGCAUGUGAACUACAGUUAGCCUUAGGCUGCUGUGGACAAGCAUCAUUUAAAGAAGAUGAAGGAAUAUGCAGAACCUGCUACUAUGGAUGAUAAUUUCCCUUGCUGAAGACGUAAUCAAUAACACACGAGAGAAGUGUCUAUUUUUGCAUUUGAAUGUUUUAAGUUCACUGUAUGUUGUGACUGAUGAUGCAAGUCUAUUUGUAAUUAAAAAAUGCAUCACUUGAAAUAUUUAAUAAAUUUUCCUUAAAGAGGUGCAUACAGUCCAUGACUAGAGUAAAGGCAAAAUAUUUUAAUGCAGUUUUAUUUUCUCCUAGGCCUACAGUAAAUUCUAUAACUACUCCACAGAUAUUUUAAUAGAGUAAGAUUGCAAAUUUCAGUUUACAUAUUUGAUGGGCAGAAAUUAAGGUGUUAUAUAAGAUCAUGCAAUAUACUUUUGUGUCUAAUUCACAUUUGUGUUUAUAUUCACAUUUAACAUUUUAUUGUUCUCAUCUCUAUAUUGCUGUUCCUCAGGACAGGAAGAUAAAAAAGACUUUCGAAAGAAAGUCUCUUUAAAAGCCAAAUGGAGACCAAGCGGACUGAAUUACUACAUAUUGCCUCAGUUAACACCACAGAUGACAAUUCUUAGAAUUAGAGAGUCACCAAGAAACAGGCAGAGAAGACUUUCAUAGACCUCCUGAAGUCUUUCUAUAACAAGGAAAUUAAAUCUCAUCUGAUAUUUUUUUCAGGGGGCUGUCUUACUUUGUAUGUCUACAGAAUUACAGCCUUGGACAUGGUGGUUAACCCACCAAACACUCCACAAGUGUUCCCACUAAAAUUAACAGUAUUGCUUAUGUAAUGAAGCACUCUUCAACACACUGCUACAAGAAUUAAAACACAAUUUAAAUCAUUAUUUUGGCUGGUUCUGGAGAUUAAGUUUCCUUUAUCUAUCUAUCUGUUUUACAUUAAUCAAUACAUUACAAAACUGACCCAAAAAACCCAAAUAACAAACCUACUAUAUUUCAGAAAUUCUAUCUUUUACAUAGCAUACAUUUUAAAUUACUUAAAUGGUUGUAUUGAUUGGAGAGUGUCCAUGCAACUCAACAAACUUAAAUUAAUUUUCUGAAGUUCAUGUAAUAUUUCAGAAACUACUUAGAAAAUAUGUAGGAAGUUAUGCCACCUAGUUCAUUCUUUCGCCAAAAUGUCACUGCUCCUGACUGUAUUCUUGCUAAUGUAUCUUCAGAACUAAUUAUUUCAGAAGUAAUUACCUGCCUUUAUAGCUCUGUUCCAUUAUCCAAUGGGCCAGCAUUUAUUGAAAAUGUUGGUUCAGAAGGGGAGAGGAGAUGCUAUACUCACUUUAUGGAAGGAUUUGAAAGUUUAUACAAUCAAGCUAUUGCGUACCAAUGCAAGCUGGGCACAAUGGACCUACCAGGAGGACCUGCUACUUAUCUUAAAGCUCACUAAGUAAUUGAACUGUGUGCCAGGCAGAUGCUGUAAAGAAUAACCAUCCUCAGUAGACUACUGAGCCACUACAACUAUAAUAUGAGAGCCACAGUCCUGAAGUGGACACAGCAUCAGCUUUAUAAACCUGGUAUGUCAAGAAAUCUAUAAAAUGUCACAUAUAUCGACAUUAUGAUAGUGGGAAUGCAUUGUGAAAGGCAAGCAAUGGCUCUGCUUGUGGGACUGCUCUGAAUAGUGUUUUUUAAGUUAGCAUAGCAAGAAGGCUUCUAGAAUUUAGCAUCUAAAUGAAGCAUCUAGAUAUG